AGCGAACGCUGGCGGCAGGCUUAACACAUGCAAGUCGAGCGGGCCUUUCGGGGUCAGCGGCGGACGGGUGAGUAACGCGUGGGAACGUGCCCUCUGGUUCGGAAUAACUCAGGGAGACUUGAGCUAAUACCGGAUACGCCCUUUUGGGGAAAGGCUUGCUGCCGGAGGAUCGGCCCGCGUCUGAUUAGCUAGUUGGUGAGGUAACGGCUCACCAAGGCGACGAUCAGUAGCUGGUCUGAGAGGAUGAUCAGCCACACUGGGACUGAGACACGGCCCAGACUCCUACGGGAGGCAGCAGUGGGGAAUAUUGGACAAUGGGCGCAAGCCUGAUCCAGCCAUGCCGCGUGAGUGAUGAAGGCCUUAGGGUUGUAAAGCUCUUUUAUCCGGGACGAUAAUGACGGUACCGGAGGAAUAAGCCCCGGCUAACUUCGUG
rnacentral:rRNA from 1 species